rnacentral:rRNA from 1 species
GAGGGAGAAGCCUUCGGGCUGAAACCGGCGCACGGGUGCGUAACGCGUAUACAAUCUGCCUUUCACAUAGGGAUAGCCCGAAGAAAUUUGGAUUAAUACCUAAUGGUAUAUAAGAGCGGCAUCGUUUUUAUAUUAAAGCUACGGUGGUGAAAGAUGAGUAUGUGUUCUAUUAGCUAGUUGGAGAGGUAACGGCUCCCCAAGGCGACGAUAGAUAGGGGUUCUGAGAGGGAUAUCCCCCACACUGGUACUGAGAUACGGACCAGACUC